GAGCACAAUAUGAAGCAACUGCUAUAUACUCAACUUCAGCAGUUGAAAGAGCCACUAAAUUCCGUUUCUUGGAACACUGGAUAUCAAUAAAGACCCUAAGAAGUGAGACAUUCCUAAAUUACUCUUCCAGUCAACCAGGUACCUAACAUAGUCUGCAUCAACAUAUCCAACAAGAUUGAAGUUGUCACCAGCUGGAUAGAGGAGGACCAGGUCGGG
rnacentral:lncRNA from 1 species